AAUAUUGGACAAUGGGUGAAAGGGUGACCCAGCCAUGCCGCGUGUGUGAAGAAGGNCUNNGGAUUNUNAAGCACUUUAAGUCGNNNNNAAGGGCAGUAACUUAAUACCUUGCUGUUUUGUCGAUACCGACAGUAUAAGCACCGACUAACUUCGUACCAACAGCCGCGGUAAUGCGAAGGGUGCAAGCGUUAAUCGAAAUUACCGGGCGUAAGGCGCGCGUAGGGGGUAUGUAAAGUUGGAAGUGAAAGCCCCGGGCUGAACCUGGGAACUGCUUUCAAAACUGGCAAGCUAGAGUAUGGCAGAGGGUGGUGGAAUUUCCUGGGUAGCGGUGAAAUGCGUAGAUAUAGUAAGGAACACCAGUGGCGAAGGCGACCACCUGGGCUAAUACUGACACUGAGGUGCGAAAGCGUGGGGAGCAAA
rnacentral:rRNA from 1 species